rnacentral:tRNA from 1 species
GCCGUCGUAGCUCAGUUGGUUAGAGCGUCUGACUGUGGCUCAGAAGGCCAUAGGUUCGAAUCCUAUCGACGGUAC